CGGGAUGGUUGCUAGGGUGUUGCUAUGGUACCCGGGGCAGUUGCUAAGGUGUUACUAUGCGGUUUCUAGGGUACCCGAGUUAGUUGCUAGGGUGUU